rnacentral:rRNA from 1 species
UACGGAGGGUGCGAGCGUUGUCCGGAAUCAUUGGGCGUAAAGGGCGCGUAGGUGGCCCGGUCAGUUCGUGGUGAAAGCGCGGGGCUCAACCCUGCGUCGGCCAUGAAUACUGCCGCGGCUGGAGCACUGUAGAGGCAGGCGGAAUUCCGGUGGAGCGGUGAAAUGCGUAGAGAUCGGAAAGAACACCAACGGCGAAAGCACUCUGCUGGGCCGACACUGACACUGAGAGACGAAAGCUAGGGGAGCGAAUGGG